rnacentral:misc_RNA from 1 species
UUGAUCCACAACGCGUAUCGCUCUCUCCUCUUCCUCUCUCCGCCGUCCCCUGUUCUUCUCCACUCCUGUGAGUGUGUUCAGCUGCCACAACUUCCCUGGUGGUCCUCUACGCCAGCCAAGCGCCGAUCCUUCCUUCUGACUUUCACCCUGUAAGCGCCGCCCAUCUUCUCCAGCGCGCCAACAUGUCCGCCAACCCGCUGCUUCAGCAGAGCACUCUGCAGUACCAAUACCCGCCCUUUGACCGGAUCGCUGUGGAGCACUACGCACCCGCUUUCGAGCAGGGCAUGGCGGAGCAGAUGGCGGAGAUCGAGGUGAUCAAGUCCAACCCUGACGCGCCCACCCUCGAAAACACAGUUGUGGCACUGGAGCGGAGUGGGGCGCAGCUUAAGCGCGCACGCCUGGUCUUCCAAAACCUCUGCUCUGCACACACGAACCCGGAGAUGCAGAGUCUCGAGCAGGCCUACGCCCCGAAGUUUGCCGUCCACACGGACAAGAUCUACCUCGAUGGCGCCUUGUACCACCGCAUCAAGGCUGUGUACGACGCGCGUGCCAGCCUCGCUGGUGAAGACUUGCGGCUGGUGGAACACACUACGAGAGGGAGUUUCGCAAGGCCGGCGCCGCCCUUCACGACUCAGACAAGGAGAAGCUAAAGCAGGUAAAUGAGCGCCUCGCACCCUCGAGAGCGAUUUUGCCAAGAAGGUGAUGGAACGCGCAAGACCGCCUCGCUCGUCGUGGAUGACGUUGCCGAGCUGGAGGGCCUCAGCGAGGACGAGAUCGCGACGGCUCAGAAGGAAGCGGAGAGCCUCGGCCACCCCGGAAAGUACGCGUUGAUUAUCGUGAACACGACUCAGCAGCCACUGCUAGCGUCUCUGAGGAGCCGCGAGACGCGCCGCCGCCUGUUCGAGGCGAGCGUGCAGCGCGCCGGACGCGGCGACGAGAAUGACACGAGCGCCAUCAUCGUGGAGAUUGCGCAGCUUCGGCUGAGGAAGGCAAGGCUGCUCGGCAAGAAGAGCUUUUCUGAGUGGCAGCUACAGAACCAGAUGGCCGACCCGGCAUCCGCGGAGGCCUUGCUGCGCGAUAUGGGCGAUGCGGCGGCGUCGAAGGUGAAGAGGGAGGCGGCUGACAUCAAGCAGAUGAUUCGCGAGGAGGGUGGGGACUUCGAGCUGGCGCCCUGGGACUGGAAGUACUACGCGGAGCGAGUACGCAAGCAGCGGUACGACCUCGACGAGAACGAAACGAAGCCGUACUUUGAGCUGAACAACGUGCUUGAGCGUGGCGUGUUCUACACGGCGGAGAAGCUGUACGGUGUGACGAUGCAGCGGCGCACGGAUCUGCCGGUGUACCACCCCGACGUGAUGUCGUUUGAGAUGUUUGACUGCACGGGCGAGUCACUCGCCAUUUUCUGCCUUGACCCCUACGCGCGCGCGCAAGCAAGCGCGGUGGCGCGUGGAUGACCUUCUAUGUUCGCCAGAGCUCCCUCCUUGGCCAGAAGCCCGUCGUGUACAAUGUGCUGAACGUUGUGAAGCCGGCUGAAGGCAGGCCAACCUUGCUGAGCCGCAGCGACGUGACGACGCUCUUCCAUGAGUUCGGCCACGGACUGCACGGCAUGCUAAGCAACCUCAAGUACUCGACUCUUUCCGGCACAAGCGUCGCCCGUGACUUCCUCGAGUUUCCAUCGCAGAUCAACGAGCACUGGGCAAUGUACGACGCCGUGUUGAAGAACUACCAUUCACUACGAAACCAAGGAGCCGAUCCCGCAGGCGCUGGUGGAUCGCAUGAAGGCGGCCGAGACAUACGGCGCCGGCUUCCACACCAUCGAGGUGGUCAAGGCGGCGUACCUCGAUCUCUGCUGGCACCUGGUUGCGGAGGAAACGGCUGUGCUACCACCAGCACAGAUGGAGGAGGCGGCGAUGAAGUCCUUUGGUGUUGGGAUGACCGAAGUGCCGCCGCGCUACCACAGCGGGUACUUCAUGCACACUUUCUCUGGCGGAUAUGCCUCGAACUACUACGUGUACCAGUGGGCGCGUGUGCUGGACUGCGACGGGUUCGAGUGGUUCCUGGAGAACGGCGGGCUGACGCGCGAGAACGGUGACCACCUGCGUGCGUGCGUGCUCUCUGUGGGCAACUCGGUGGACGCGAACGUUGCGUACGAGAAGUUCGCCGGCCGCAAGGCAAACAUGAAGGCGUUCCUGCGCAUCAACGGCCUGCUGGACAAAUAGUCUCGUUGGCGUUUGCGUGCGCGCAACUCCGCUCUUAUCUAUUAUUUGUUUUUCUCUUUUGGACGUUAUUCGUGCUCCGUGCGUGUUCGCUGCCCAGACGGCAGCGCGGAUGGGGCGGGGGCGGGAUGAGUGGCGAAGGCGCCCGCGUUUGCCGCUCUCGACUCGGUACUUUGAACUUUUCCACGCGACAGUCGACGCUGCAGUCGCGACCCUCACCACAGGCAGUUGCGCUGCCUUUCCGCCAUGGCAUCUCGCGCCGUACGCUUCCUUC